GACGGAGGAUGCAAGCGUUAUCCGGAAUGAUUGGGCGUAAAGCGUCCGCAGGUGGCAGUUCAAGUCUGCUGUCAAAGACCGGGGCUUAACUUCGGAAAGGCAGUGGAAACUGAACAGCUAGAGUAUGGUAGGGGCAGAGGGAAUUCCUGGUGUAGCGGUGAAAUGCGUAGAGAUCGGGAAGAACACCGGUGGCGAAGGCGGUUCUCUGGGCAUUACCUGACGCUGAGGAGCGAAAGUGUGGGGAGCGAACAGG
rnacentral:rRNA from 1 species